CAUACUUCUCACUUGCUUCCCCUCCCAUUUCAUGCUCCAGAAGGAUGGAGAUGAGAUUUGGAAGUAAAACUGUGAAGGUCACAGGUUGAGGUUUACUCUCAGCUGUUUCCUCUAUCAUAUGCACAUGCUAAAGGGUUAACCUGAUUUUGAUGUACAAAUCAAAAUUUGAAGAGACAGGCUCAAGUCGUCUUAGGCUCUGUGUCCUUGCUUGAUGAAGAGCCACACUGCCCCCCUCAAAGACUCAUCACCUAAGGAAACAUGCAGUACCCAGGACAAGGCAGUGACUCAUCUAAUCCCUGCUGGUGCUGGCGUGCCUUGAAAAGCCCUCGUUCCUGUUAUGUCUGUAUGGCAUAACACAGAGAGGAGAUGCUCCUGCAGAAAUCCCCCAGUCAGGCCAGCACUCCUGGUCCAAGUCAUGGCCUAGGGUUUCAGGACUCAUCUCAUCUUCUCCAUUGUGCAAGACUAGCACUGCACAUCACUUAGGCCACUGGCCCUGGGACCACACUAUCACUUUGACUUAUUAAUUAGAGCUGCACCCCUUUUUUAAACACUACAUCAAUACAGCAUGUGGCAACUUGGAGGGCAGUGAGGGUCAAACUCAGAAGCAAUACUCUUUCUUUUAUAAAAUCAGCAAAAAAAACCCCAAAAAUGUCAGAGCUGGCAUCAUGAAGAUUGACGUGAAUCCACAGGAAUGCUGUGUUCCUUGCCUAAAUAUGCAAGGUUAAUCUAUCUGCUUCCAGUGGGGCAGAAAGGAGAUUUCUUCAACAUGCCAGGGACUUCUGUAUUUUUUUUUCUGGUGCCUUCCAGCAAAGAUCAUCUGCUAGGAUCAUGUGGAUGUCAUGAGUUCAAUGAAUUUCCCCUGUUAAAGGUAAACUCGGUUGUUUGUAGAGUGGCAGAUACCUUUUCUAUUUGUGGUUGAUAUUGCUUGCAUUUUCCUGUUGACCAUAAUCUAUGGCAAAAAUUUUGUUUGGCUUCACCUCGCCUUCCCCAUCCUGCUCUUUUUAAGGGAGAUUUUAAAAAGCACAGUUUGCAGAACUCUUUAGGAGAGGUGAGCCCAAGAAGAGCCUUCACUCUCGACCACUCACUUGUAUUAUGGACAGAAUAAAGAAUGAUAAUAUAGAUUUUCUUGGUGCCCUGCUUUCAGUGAGACAUCCU